GCCAGAGUGGCGGAAUCGGCAGACGCGCUGGAUUCAAAAUCCAGUACACGCAAGUGUGUGAGGGUUCGAGUCCCUCCUCUGGUA
rnacentral:tRNA from 1 species